rnacentral:rRNA from 1 species
UACAGAGGUGGCAAGCGUUGUUCGGAAUUACUGGGCGUAAAGGGCGCGUAGGUGGCCAACUAAGUCAGACGUGAAAUCCCUCGGCUUAACCGGGGAACUGCGUCUGAUACUGGAUGGCUUGAGUUGGGAGAGGGACGCGGAAUUCCAGGUGUAGCGGUGAAAUGCGUAGAUAUCUGGAGGAACACCGGUGGCGAAGGCGGCGUCCUGGACCAAUACUGACACUGAAACGCGAAGCCAGGGAGCAAACGG